CAAUAGCGUAUAUUAAAGUUGUUGCAGUUAGAACGCUCGUAGUCGGAUUUCGGGGCGGGCCGACCGGUCUGCCGAUGGGUACGCACUGGUCGGCGCGUCCUUCCUUCCGGAGACCGUGCCUACUCUUAACUGAGCGGGUGCGGGAGACGGAUCGUUUACUUUGAAAAAAUCAGAGUGUUUCAAGCAGGCAGCUCGCUCUUGCAUGGAUUAGCAUGGGAUAAUGAAAUAGGACUUUGGUGCUAUUUUGUUGGUUUCGAACACCGAAGUAAUGAUUAACAGGGACAGUCAGGGGCACUCGUAUUCCGCCGAGAGAGGUGAAAUUCUCAGACCAGCGGAAGACGAACUACUGCGAAAGCAUUUGCCAGGGAUGUUUUCACUG
rnacentral:rRNA from 1 species